GACGAACGCUGGCGGCGUGCUUAACACAUGCAAGUCGAACGGAAAGGCCCUGCUUUUGUGGGGUGCUCGAGUGGCGAACGGGUGAGUAACACGUGAGUAACCUGCCCUUGACUUUGGGAUAACUUCAGGAAACUGGGGCUAAUACCGGAUAGGAGCUCCUGCUGCAUGGUGGGGGUUGGAAAUUUCCGGCGUUUGGGGAUGGACUCGCGGCUUACCAGCUUGUUGGUGGGGUAGUGGCUUACCAAGGCUUUGACGGGUAGCCGGCCUGAGAGGGUGACCGGCCACAUUGGGACUGAGAUACGGCCCAGACUCCUACGGGAGGCAGCAGUGGGGAAUAUUGCACAAUGGGCGGAAGCCUGAUGCAGCAACGCCGCGUGCGGGAUGACGGCCUUCGGGUUGUAAACCGCUUUCGCCUGUGACGAAGCGUGAGUGACGGUAAUGGGUAAAGAAGCACCGGCUAACUACGUG
rnacentral:rRNA from 1 species